UGCUACAUGGACCAAACUAAUAAAAAGAAGGCAUAUCUUUCACAGGAGAGAAAAGCGCAACAUCGACGUUAGGGCGGAGGAAGAGAGGGAAAGGAAGUAGGAGGAGAAAAAAAAUAGAGGAACGGUGAGGAGGGAAGGCAAAGAGGGAGGAGAAAAAUAAACAAAAGAGAAAGGAGAGAGAAAGGGGAAUAAGGAUAUUUUGAUUAGUUUACUAAAAAUUCAUACAUAAUAUUUAAUAUAUAAAAAAUAGUCUAUAUACCUCUCAUACGUUUAAAAAUAUCCGAUUAACCCCUACUUUUUUUUUCUUUCUAAAAUACCCCUCAUAUGUUCCACCGUUAUUGCAAAAUACCCCCGCAGUUAUCUCCUGUUAAAUUAACUUGGGUUAAACGUGAGUUAAACAUCUACCACAGUUAAAAAAAAUUAAAAUGCCAAUUUUGCCCUUAACUUAAGGGCAAAUAAGAAAUGUUGGUGACGGUAGAGGGGUAUAUUGGAAAAGACCAAAAGUUAAAAUACUUUUUAUGCCCCUGAUUUUAAGGGCAAAUAAGAAAGUCAGUGAUGGUGGAAGGGUAUAUUUGAAAGGACAAAAUAGUAGUUUUACAGAGUUAACAGAGUUAAUUAACAUAUUUUAACUCUAGGGGUAUAUUAGAAAUAGGUUGGAACGUAAAAAGGGUAUUUUCAAUACUAGCCUUCUAAGAGGGGUAAAUCGGAAAGUCGGAAACUUUUCAGGGGUAUAUAAGCAAUUGCCCCUAAAAAAUAUAUAUAUUUAGUAAAAAUGGUAAAUUAUUUAUAACUUUUCUUUACCACUUAGACUUAGUUUUACAAAUAAAGAUAUAGGAUAUCUAUUCUUAGAAUUAAAAAAUUAUGAUAAUUGCCUAAAUAUUCCUGAAAACUUUGAAAAUACCUCAUUUAUCCCUACUUUUUUUUUUUUCUUUCCAAUAUACCCGUUAUAUGUUCCUCAGUUAUUCUAAAAUAUCUCUGCAGUUAUCACUCGUUAAGUUUAUUUGAGUUAAAUGUCAGUUAAAUAUUUACUAGAGUUAAAAAAAUUAAAAUACCGCUUUUGCCCUUAACUUAAGGACAAAUAAGAAAUAUUGGUGAUGGUAGAAGGGUAUAUUUGAAAAGACAAAAAAUUAAAAUACUUUUUGUGCCCCUAGCUUAAGGGCAAGUAGCAAAAUAGAAAAAGUCAGUGAUAAUAGAAUAAUAUAUUUAAAAGGACAAAAUAGUAAUUUUAUACAUAUAACUGUUAUUGCUAAUUGUUUAUUGACAUAAUUUAACUCUAGUGGUAUAUUUGAAAUAUGUUGAAAUGUAAAACAAAUAUUUUUAAUAUUAACCUUGUAAGAAGGAUAAAUUGAAAAGUUAAAAGCUUUUCAGAAGUAUACAACCA
rnacentral:lncRNA from 1 species